AAUAUUUCACAAUGGGGUCAACCCUGAUCCAGCCAGACCGCGUGUGUGAAGAAGUUCUUCGGAUUGUACAGCACUUUAAGUUGAGAGGAAUGGCUUUCGGUUAGUACCCUGAAGUUUUGACGUUACCAUCACAAUUAUCACUGGCUACUUCGUUGCCAGCAGCCGCGGUAAUACAGAGGGUGCAAGCGUUAAUCGGAAUUACUGGUCUUAAAGCGAGCGUAGGUGGUUCAGUAAGAUGGGUGUGAAAUCCCCGGGCUUAACCUGGGAACUGCUUUCAUAAAUGCUGAGCUAGAGUACGGUAGAGGGUAGUGGAAUUUCCUGUGUAGCGAUGAAAUGCGUAGAUAUAGGAAGGAACACAAGUGGCGAAGGCGACUACCUGGACUGAUACUGACACUGAGGUGCGAAAGCGUGGGGAGCAAAC
rnacentral:rRNA from 1 species